rnacentral:rRNA from 1 species
GAUGAACGCUGGCGGCGUGCCUAAUACAUGCAAGUCGAGCGAACGGAUAAGGAGCUUGCUCCUUUGAAGUUAGCGGCGGACGGGUGAGUAACACGUGGGUAACCUACCUAUAAGACUGGAAUAACUUCGGGAAACCGGAGCUAAUGCCGGAUAACAUUUGGAACUGCAUGGUUCUAAAGUAAAAGAUGGUUUUGCUAUCACUUAUAGAUGGACCCGCGCCGUAUUAGCUAGUUGGUAAGGUAACGGCUUACCAAGGCAACGAUACGUAGCCGACCUGGGAGGGUGAUCGGCCACACUGGAACUGAGACACGGUCCAGACCCCUACGGGAGGCAGCAGUAGGGAAUCUUCCGCAAUGGACGAAAGUCUGACGGAGCAACGCCGCGUGAGUGAUGAAGGUUUUCGGAUCGUAAAACUCUGUUAUUAGGGAAGAACAAAUGUGUAAGUAACUGUGCACAUCUUGACGGUACCUAAUCAGAAAGCCACGGCUAACUACGUGCCAGCCGCCGCGGUAA